CAAAAAGUAGCUUCAACCCCAAAGCACCCAACUUACAAUUGGAAAAUGUUAGUAACCAACCUAACCUUUUUGA
rnacentral:tRNA from 1 species